rnacentral:rRNA from 1 species
GACGUAGGAUGCAAGCGUUGUCCGGAUUUAUUGGGCGUAAAGAGUUCGUAGGCUGUUUGUUAAGUCUGAUGUUAAAGACUGGGGCUCAACCUCGGAAAUGCAUUGGAUACUGGCAGACUGGAGUACGGGAGAGGCAAGCGGAAUUCCUGGUGUAGCGGUGAAAUGCGUAGAUAUCAGGAGGAACACCCGUGGUGCAGACGGCUUGCUGGACCGUGACUGACGCUGAGGCACGAAAGCGUGGGUAGCAAACAGG